AUUGAACGCUGGCGGCGUGCUUAACACAUGCAAGUCGAUCGGUAACAGGUGUAGCAAUACAUGCUGACGAGAGGCGGACGGGUGAGUAAUGCUUGGGAAUCUGCCUAUUAGUGGGGGACAACCCGGGGAAACUCGGGCUAAUACCGCAUACGCUCUACGGAGGAAAGCCGGGGACCGCAAGGCCUGGCGCUAAUAGAUGAGCCCAAGUCGGAUUAGCUAGUUGGUAGGGUAACGGCCUACCAAGGCGACAAUCCGUAGCUGGUCUGAGAGGACGACCAGCCACACCGGAACUGAGACACGGUCCGGACUCCUACGGGAGGCAGCAGUGGGGAAUAUUGGACAAGUGGGGGCAACCCUGAUCCAGCGACGCCGCGUGGGUGAAGAAGGCCUGCGGGUU
rnacentral:rRNA from 1 species